rnacentral:lncRNA from 1 species
CAACACAUCCGGUUAGCCGUUAGCAUAAUCAUGCACAUAUGAAAUACGAACUCAACCGGUAAAGCCUCAAAUCAUCUUGUCAAUCACUCAUCACAAAUAGAUCAAGGCACUUCUCAACUUGGUCUCUCAAUAUCCUCCUUGAUAAGUGCAUUGACAAAAGAUGAUUUGAAAGCAAAAGAUAACUCAUUCAAGUGCCCAAAAGCCAAGUAAAAGCAAACACAAGGCAACUUGAUAUGAGAAAGGAUCAUGCAAGCUCCAAUGAAAAAUUCUAGGUUGCAUCAAAGCCAUUUCUCAAUUUCCCCCUGAUGAAUCCCAUAAGACAACAAAAGAGUCAAGCGAAUGACACAAGUGCUUCAUGAAUCCCAAAAUGUCGUCAAAGCCAUUCAACAUUUGUCAAACACUCAUCACUAUAAAAUCAAGGUUCAUAUCAACUUGAUUUUCUCAAUCUCCC